rnacentral:rRNA from 1 species
GAUUAACGCUGGCGGCGUGCAUAACACAUGCAAGUCGAACGAAGUGGCGGACGGGUGAAUAACGCGUGAGUAACCUGCCUUAGAGAAGGGGAAAGCCUUUGGAAACGCAGAAUAAUACCCUAUGCGUUAAGAUGGUCUUGCGUCUGAUUAGUUAGGUGGUGGGGUAACGGCCUACCAAGCCAGCGAUCAGUAGCCGGCUGGGGGAGGUGGACGGCCACAUUGGGACUGAGACACGGGCCAGACUCUACGGGAGGCAGCAGUGGGGAAUUUUGCACAAUGGGGGAAACCCUGAUGCAGCGACGCCGCGUGAUUUAGAAGGCCUUCGGGUUGUAAAAAUCUUUUCUAUGGGAAGCAGUACCAUAGGAAUAAGGACCGGCUAAUUACGUGCCAGCAGCCGCGGUAAUUC